CCUACGGGUGGCAGCAGUAGGGAAUCUUGCGCAAUGGGCGAAAGCCUGACGCAGCCAUGCCGCGUGAAUGAUGAAGGUCUUAGGAUUGUAAAAUUCUUUCAGCGGGGACGCGGUACCCGCAGAAGAAGCCCCGGCUAACUUCGUGCCAGCAGCCGCGGUAAUACGAAGGGGGCUAGCGUUGCUCGGAAUUACUGGGCGUAAAGGGCGCGUAGGCGGAUGUUUAAGUCAGAGGUGAAAGCCCAGGGCUCAACCUUGGAACUGCCUUUGAUACUGGACAUCUUGAGUAUGGGAGAGGUGAGUGGAACUCCGAGUGUAGAGGUGAAAUUCGUAGAUAUUCGGAAGAACACCAGUGGCGAAGGCGACUCACUGGCCAUACUGACGCUGAGGCGCGAAAGCGUGGGGAGCAAACAGGAUUAGAUACCCUUGUAGUC
rnacentral:rRNA from 1 species